AGUGGGAGCAAAGUUUCAGUGCAUUCCGUUGAUGUGGACGGCGUGAAAACGGAAACAACAAGUAUGCUGGCUCACUGUGCUGCAUACAGUUACAUACUGCGUCGUACGAUUGAGACAAGGAAACUUGGAAUGACUUUUCAUAGGUUUCCCAGAGACUAUGGGUUGAGGAGGAAUUGGAAGUUUGUCGGCUUAGACCUGGUGUCAUUCCAUCAGUGUUAAACUUCCCGGCUCAUCUUGGAAGAGUACGUGCCAGAAAGACCACGACCAAGCAGCCUUGAGAUCUUAGGCAGCGUCUCCCUGAGGUCCCUCUCUAUCUCCCCACACAUCCACCAGCCACUGGAACACAUCUCCAAAGUUCUGCCGGGCCAGCUCAGCUUCCCCUCAGAAGAAGUUCCGCCAGAUGAAGGAGCCUUUUGAGAGGCAGCUGGCAUCGUGACUGGACUGUACUUUGGUCUGUUCCAAUCCAGCUUCAGCUCCAGAGACGGCAGGCGGGACGAGUCAACGGAGGCCUGGUGGAUGAAGGCAUGCAGCUGAGUACAAUCCAGAAAACAACAGAGGAGGAGUGCAGCAGCCCAGAGCCAGAACAAGCAGAGUAGCAUCGUAUGUCUCUUAGAAAACAACAUAGUAUAGCCUUUGGGAUGAAAAAACACCAUCAUAUACAUCGUAUAUUGUACAAAUAACAAGUCAAAGCAAAGAGACAUACAUUGUAGAAUUGUAGUAAUUGUGGGCUGACUGAUUUACUGAUUAUCAGUAUUUUAUUUUUUACUGAUUUACGGUAAUAAAUCAAUUUAAAAAUGGCGCUACUUUGGCUCUGAACCUUAAUCUACCUGUGGUGGCUCUGUCUUCUGGAGUGAUUUGAUUGGUUAUACGUCA
ensembl:lncRNA